rnacentral:rRNA from 1 species
UGCGCAGGCGGCCGUGUGUGUGAGGCGUGAAAGCUUGGAGCUUAACUCCAGAAUUGCACCUCAAACUACACGGCUAGAGUAUUGGAGAGGGUAGCGGAAUUCACGGUGUAGCAGUGAAAUGCGUAGAUGUCGUGAGGAACAUCAGAGGCGAAGGCGGCUACCUGGACAAUUACUGACGCUCAGGCACGAAAGCGUGGGGAGCAAAAGGGAUUAGAUACCCCUGUAGUCCACGCCCUAAACGGUGCACACUAGGUCUUGGCGGAUUCGACCCCCCCAGGGCCCAAGCUAACGCGUUAAGUGUGCCGCCUGAGGACUACGGCCGCAAGGCUAAA